AAAACACUACUCCGUAUUAAAAUGUUCAUUUCCAUUAUUGAAAAGAGAGGCAACGACAGUUGGGCCUGUUUGGGCUUUUUAUACGGGCCAUACGGCCGAAUUCACUAGGCUGGCCUCCUGAACUGACCUCAGUGCAAUUUCGUUCUUCUUCUCCUCAAUCAAAUCCCACGAACCCUCUCUGUUCCAAUCCAGGCCGCCAUUGUUUCGUUUCCGCCGGCGCUAUCUCCCACCCUUGCAGCGCCAUCUGCGAUUAGAGAAAUUCAGAGAAAGAGAGAGCAGAGGAGUGAGCGAGGAGGCAUCGCCGGCGACCGGAGAAGAGGAGGAGGAAGGCGGUGGGGGCUCACGCGUGCAUGGGCCGCGGUGCUGUUAUGGGACCUGCACGCGGCGGAUCGACGGGAGGCACCGGCGCCGGGGGCGGCCACUCGGGGCCAAGUGAUACUGUAAGCUGAAGCACCCCUAGUCUAAUGGAAGGAUCAAGUUGCAGGUUUUCGUUAGAAGCAUCAGGCUGCUACCCUGUACAUGUUGUUAUUUUGUUUCAAAAAAGAAAAUAAAUGAAUUUGAUACCAUGAGUGAUUUUACUGGCAUUUUAUUUAACUUUUGGCUAAAGACCGAUUAUUCAGAACCAUAACCUGUAUUUAGAAUAUUUACCAGCUGCUUGACAUAGUUUCUCCCUAAAAACUAAAAAUGGGGUGUAGUUUCAAGCCUUAUAUAUUCCAAGGAGUGUGUAAUGCCGAUGAUGAGGUGGAACUGGAAGGGCUUGCCAUGGGGAGGAGGCGGGGGAGGUGGUGGUGUUGAUGGCAGAUGGGGCUGCUAUUUCUGAAGCAGGUGUCAUGACAGAGCAUCUCUGAUCUGGACUCUGGAGUCACUGCUGCCAUUUUCUCGAGCUCUGCUCUUGACAAGGAUUCGCCUGAUCCAGAUUGCCAAAUCCCGGAGAACUUGAGUAAGCUGGAAUCAUGCUUGAUCCAUUAUAGGGCUGUACUUGAAGUAGUUGUAUAGUUCUCAGACACAUGCACGUUUCUCUCUUCUCACAUACGGCAGCAGUAGCAGAUUGCCUUUUCCAUA